GUUGAACGCUGGCGGCAUGCCUUACACAUGCAAGUCGAACGGCAGCACGGGUGCUUGCACCUGGUGGCGAGUGGCGAACGGGUGAGUAAUACAUCGGAACAUGUCCUGUAGUGGGGGAUAGCCCGGCGAAAGCCGGAUUAAUACCGCAUACGAUCUACGGAUGAAAGCGGGGGACCUUCGGGCCUCGCGCUAUAGGGUUGGCCGAUGGCUGAUUAGCUAGUUGGUGGGGUAAAGGCCUACCAAGGCGACGAUCAGUAGCUGGUCUGAGAGGACGACCAGCCACACUGGGACUGAGACACGGCCCAGACUCCUACGGGAGGCAGCAGUGGGGAAUUUUGGACAAUGGGCGAAAGCCUGAUCCAGCAAGGCCGCGUGUGUGAAGAAGGCCUUCGGGUUGUAAAGCACUUUUGUCCGGAAAGAAAUCCUUGGCCCUAAUACGGUCGGGGGAUGACGGUACCGGAAGAAUAAGCACCGGCUAACUACGG
rnacentral:rRNA from 1 species